rnacentral:rRNA from 1 species
GAACUUUCAACAACGGAUCUCUUGGUUCUGGCAUCGAUGAAGAACGCAGCGAAAUGCGAUAAGUAAUGUGAAUUGCAGAAUUCAGUGAAUCAUCGAAUCUUUGAACGCACAUUGCGCCCCGUGGUAUUCCGCGGGGCAUGCCUGUUCGAGCGUCAUU